rnacentral:ribozyme from 1 species
ACACAAAAGGCAAAGCACCCUCGAAUCCACCCAAAGGGGCCGCCGCCCCGCAGGUGCACCUGUUGCGCACGCGGGGGUCGCCGGCGCUGCUCAACGGGGAGGGGAAC